AGAGCGAACGCUGGCGGCAGGCCUAACACAUGCAAGUCGAGCGCCCGUAGCAAUACGGGAGCGGCAGACGGGAUAGUAACACGUGGGAACGCGCCCUUCGGUUCGGAAUAACUCAGGGAAACUUGAGCUAAUACCGAAUACGCCCUUACGGGGAAAGAUUUAUUGCCGAAGGAACGGCCCGCGUCCGAUUAGCUAGUUGGUGAGGUAAUGGCUCACCAAGGCUACGAUCGGUAGCUGGUCUGAGAGGAUGACCAGCAUCACUGGGACUGAGACACGGCCCAGACUCCUACGGGAGGCAGCAGUGGGGAAUAUUGGACAAUGGGCGCAAGCCUGAUCCAGCCAUGCCGCGUGGAUGAUGAAGGCCUUAGGGUUGUAAAGUCCGUUUAACGGGGAAGAUAAUGACGGUACCCGUAGAAUAAGCCCGGCUAACUUCGUGCCAGCAGCCG
rnacentral:rRNA from 1 species